CCCUUAGAUGUUCUGGGCUGCACGCGCGCUACACUGAAGCUAUCAACACGUUUUCCCUCCCUGAGAAGGGCGGGUAACCUUUUGAAUCAGCUUCGUGGUAGGGAUCGGGGCUUGCAAUUGUUCCCCGUGAACCAGGAAUUCCUAGUAGACGCGAGUCAUAAGCUCGCAUCGAUUAAGUCCCUGCCCUUUGUACACACCGCCCGUCGCUACUACCGAUUGAACGUUUUAGUGAGGCAUUUGGACCGACGCAUCUCAGUUUAACCGCUGGUUUGCGUUGGAAAGACUUCCAAACUUGAGCGUUUAGAGGAAGUAAAAGUCGUAACA
rnacentral:rRNA from 1 species